CCUAUAAGACGUGGGUAACUUCGGGAAACCGGAGCUAAUACCGGAUAAUAUUUUGAACCGCAUGGUUCAAAAGUGAAAGACGGUCUUGCUGUCACUUAUAGAUGGAUCCGCGCUGCAUUAGCUAGUUGGUAAGGUAACGGCUUACCAAGGCAACGAUGCAUAGCCGACCUGAGAGGGUGAUCGGCCACACUGGAACUGAGACACGGUCCAG
rnacentral:rRNA from 1 species